GCUGGGUGUGGUGGCGCACACCUGUAGUCCCAGCUACUUGGGAGGCCAAGGCAGAAGAAUCACUUGAACCUGGGAGAUAGAAGUUGCAGUGAGCCGAGAUCACGCCACUGCAUUCCAGCCUGGGUGACAGAGUGAGAUUCUGUCUCAA
ensembl:misc_RNA Metazoa_SRP Metazoan signal recognition particle RNA